AACGCACCUUGCACCCUGGGGUAUUCCCUAGGGUAUGUCUGUCUGAGUGUUAUUUGAACUCUCAAAGUUUCUUUCCUUUGAUUAGGUUAGAAUGCUUUGGAUCUUGGGUGUUUGCAAGUCUUGGCUUGCUCACUUUAAAUGGAAUGUGGCAUUCACCUCUGAAGCUGCUGUUAGGUUUGACCUGGAGUAAUAGAAGUCUUUUGAGAUCUCUGGGGAACUGUCAUCUGACGGUGCCUAUAGUGGUGGGAGGUAGUGUCUUACAGACUUAUCUGACGUUUUUGACCUCAGAUCAGGCAGGACUACCCGCUGAACUUAA
rnacentral:misc_RNA from 1 species